AGAGUUUGAUCCUGGCUCAGAACGAACGCUGGCGGUAUGCCUAACACAUGCAAGUCGAACGGGAUCCGGACUUCGGUUCGGUGAGAGUGGCGGACGGGUGAGUAACGCGUGGGAACCUGCCCAGUGGUGGGGGAUAACUGCGGGAAACUGCAGCUAAUACCGCAUGAGCCCGAGAGGGGAAAGAUUUAUCGCCAUUGGAGGGGCCCGCGUUCGAUUAGGUAGUUGGUGGGGUAACGGCCCACCAAGCCGACGAUCGAUAGCUGGUCUGAGAGGAUGAUCAGCCACACUGGGACUGAGAUACGGCCCAGACUCCUACGGGAGGCAGCAGUGGGGAAUAUUGGACAAUGGGGGCAACCCUGAUCCAGCAAUGCCGCGUGAGUGAUGAAGGCCUUCGGGUUGUAAAGCUCUUUGCCAGGGACGAUGAUGACGGUACCUGAGAUUAGGCCCA
rnacentral:ncRNA from 2 species